CAGCAGCCGCGGUAAGACGAACCGUGCGAACGUUAUUCGGAAUUACUGGGCGUAAAGCGUGCGUAGGAGGUGGUUUAAGUCCGUUGUGAAAGCCCUGGGCUCAACCUGGGAAUUGCAGUGGAUACUGGGUCACUAGAGUGUGGUAGAGGAUAGUGGAAUUUCCGGUGUAGCAGUGAAAUGCGUAGAGAUCGGAAGGAACAUCUGUGGCGAAGGCGACUAUCUGGGCCAACACUGACACUGAGGCACGAAAGCGUGGGGAGCAAACAGGAUUAGAUACCCGUGUAGUCCCUGUCUCUUAUAC
rnacentral:rRNA from 1 species